rnacentral:misc_RNA from 1 species
AAAAAAAAAAAAAAAAUGAACAGAUUUCUGCUCCCUUUGAAAAGUAAAACCUAAAAUUUAGAGAGAUAUUUCUACCCACUUAGUAAAUUCAAUUAAAUGUAACAAAAGAAAAAACCAAUAAAUUGUUGUACACAAUCAUGCUUGCAAAAUUUAAAAUGGGAAAAAAUUUGUAUCUUUUACAGAAUUAAGAAAACAUAAAAGCUCCCAAUCAUAGACGAAGAAGAUGAAGGACAAGAAGUUCAAUAAACUGCUAAAAAUCAUCAACCCAAAACGUUACCAAACAAGAUUUAUCAGAAAUAUAUUCUAGGAACCCAACAAAUGCACAUCCAACAUCUCUAGAACAAAUCACACAAUUGAAAAUUAGGAAAAAUCAACAAAAAAAAAUAGUAGCACAAUAGUCAAUCACCUAAGACAAUCGUAAUUACAUAAUCCAAAUCUAUCGGAAUUUUAAUUCACAAAAUUGAUAGCAGUAAUUGAGAAAUCAUAGGAAUUAAAAUCCACCAAAUUGAUAGCUUACCUUAUCAACGCUCCUUUGUGUAAUUUACGGAGUUAUAGGUGGUUCAAUCUCCAUCUAACAAAACGCAGAAAUGAUAAAAAUAAAAAAAGAGAGAGAAGCAAUAGAUGGAGAAGUUUCUGGAGAGGCGGACGCCGGGGAAUGUUUAAAUCCAAUUGAAUCAUCCCUUCGGAUCCG